GAGGACCGGGCCGGUGAAGGAGAGGGAGGACCGGGCCGGGGAAGGAGAGGGAGGACCGGGCCGGUGAAGGAGAGGGAGGACCGGGCCGGUGAAGGAGAGGGAGGACCGGCGGAACGGGCCGGUGAAGGAGCACAUUCGAUUAUUUCUCCACUCAUGAUCAAAUGGAGACUCAGCUCUUUAACGCCUGGUCUCAGAUCAGUGACGGCAUCAAGUUCAACAGGCUCAACAUGAAUUAUUCGUCCUCCAUCUUUGGCCUCAGGGGAGCGUUAGGGUUGAGUAUCGAUCGGUCUGAUCCUCCUCUGGAUCAAUAAUCAGAUAUCUGCAACUCAACGUCUUUGGGACUUACAACUGAAACAAAUCAAUGUGAACCAGGAUGAAGCGCGAGUUAAAAAGUUUCCUUCUCUUCCUCCCUGAGGUAAAUAAAAUACAAUAAAGAAGAUUUAUUCAUUCAUAUACUAUUUGAUCUGAUCAUCAGCUGCAGCUCAGUUUGUAUUGAAUCUGAUUCUGUGUCGUCGACGAGUGGAACCGACAGGAAACAACAAGGGAAGAAAAACAACGAGAGAAACUCCUCCACUCUGGUCGUCGUCCUGUCUUCUCUGCAGCAGCUUGAUGCUCUGAUUCAUUUUCAAAUGAAGACUUGGUGGGAAAACAGAGGAGUUGAUCAGAGGUUUGGUCCCUGAGGUCGAUGAGGUGAAGGUAUGAAACAUCAGAACUCAAGUGCUUUUCUUUCCGCUGGGACAAUUUCUCAUUUUCUGAUCCUCUACAGAUCAGAAUCAGCGUCACUCCGAGUUUGUUCAGCUCGUAGUUCUGUCUCCACACUUUGUUCUCUUAUUUCUAUGUUACUCUUUUCCUCACCUUAUUUGGGUCAAUUCUUCUGAAUACAAUAAUUUGCCCCUAACCCCUGUUUACAAAAUGUCAAUUGAACUACACCAAGGUGUUUUAAUUAUCUCGUCUUCAAUCACCAUUUAUACGUCUGGAAGCUGCGCAGAUGGAGACGGACUCCUGGAAGCUUUUACACAGUUUCCUUCUUCAUCAAACAUUUAGUGUUUUGUGCGUUGAACUGAAAAUGAGGUUUGCUCUUUUUAAUGUCCUUUCAUCAAAACCUUUACUGCCACCUGGUGGACUGGAGUGUGGAGCAGUCUCUAGUGUGAAGUUAUGUUUAUGCUUGUUUGGUGUCGAUUCGUGUUUCCUUUGUUCAUCAUCACAGACAAACAUAUUUCAAAGUGAGUUUUUACACUUUACAGAUAUUUUAACCUCUAUUAUACAAGAUAUAAUGACUUGCACACCAUGUUAGACGUCCUAUAGAAGGAGCUGAUUGUUGCACUUGGUCUUGUGCAUUACCAUGGUCCUAGAUAACUUUGCUGUCAUAUUUUCUCUAUAAUUCAUAUUCUUCCCUCUCCGACGUCGUCGUGUUGGAGCAGAUUCCUCAGCUCGGCUCGUCGAGGGAGAACGAUGCCUCAGUAAUUGAUGUCGUGACCUGAUCCUUCGAGAACGAGCUCUGCUGACGGCCUCCAGCACAGAGGAGCCAAUCAGUGAGCUGCAUCACACACUCAUCAUAAUAAUAACGCUCAUCUCAUCUGCUUCAUGCUCGACAUGAAUUAUUUUGUUUUCAAGCCGUGCGUGUGUGCGUGUGUGCGUGCGUGUGUGCGUGUGUGUGUGUGUGUGUGUGUGUGUGUGUUUGUGUGUUAAUCCCCAGUUAACCCACAGUCUCUCUCUCUGCUCUGGAUCUGUGUUAGUGUAGAUCAGCGAGACACUUUAGAAUUUAGGAUUUGUUCAGUGUGUGUCAGAGAUCAGAGGUCAGAGGUCAAAGGUCGGCUGCCACCUGAGACAAUAAUGAGUCAUGGAUCAGAGAAGAGAAGUUCAGCCGGUCCUCUGCUUCAAGUGGCAGUGACCUUCGACAAAUGAAAAGUAGGAAUGGAUUCAUGAACUUUCACCUCGACACCGAGCGACGUCAGAGCAAAGAACUGAGAACAAAGAGUCUCUUAUUCCCCCAAAGUGACAGAAACACACUUCAGAACUAGAGAAGAGAGGCUGAACGAACCAUCGAACAAACAGCAGCUGGAUGAAGCAUCGAUCGACCGGACGGACGAUCAAACGGACGAUUGACAGAAAGAAACUAACGAUCAAACGAAUGAACGAUCGGAGGAAAAAGAAUAUGGAAGGUACCAACGCACGACAGCGGCUGUCUUAUCAUGCUAACAUGAUGCCAACUGAAUCUUAAAGAAUUCCCUCGGACUCGUGGUGGAACUGGCCGGGAAAGACGGAUUAGUCUGUGAUGUUCCCAGAGCUGAUCGUGGACCAGAGCCUCGCUGAGUCUCUCUGCUCCGUCACCACACAUUAACAUUCUCUCUGUACGACCAACUUCUGCUGUCGCCUGGUUGGCAAACGUUCCCAGAAUAUACAAAAAUAUCCUCCAACCUGGUGAGAUGAUUUUCUCAUGAUGGGACGAGUCGUAACCGGAGACAUGUGUUCCGUGUGUUUCCCCUUAUGAAAUAUGAAAACACUGGUCUGAGGCCUGAGGCUACGAGGGAGAGCUGGAUCAUGAAUUCUGAAUUUCAAAGGAUGAGAAGAUAAGAUCAUACGGACACGCUCCAGUGCGUCCAGCUCCAGACAAGUGUCUUGUCUCUGUAAUCGAUUUGACAAAGCAGAUAUUUCACGUGGAGUGUUUUCACAGAUUCAUAUCUAUUAUCCAUGAAACUCUAAUAAUGCAGGAGCUCGAGAAGCUCGAGGGGACGGAUGUUUUACAAAUGUUGUAGAACAUAAAUCAAACGUCGGCGUUAGCGAGGAGCCUUCCUGUUCCUGUGUGUCUGGAAUAAAAGACAUUAAAAGCACACUGACAUUAUUUUUGUUCAUGCAUGAAUCAUGUUAUUAAAGAGCCGUCUCACUCAUAACAGACGUUGAGUCAUACAGGAUCAGGCCUCCAGUUAGGUACUUGGUUGGUUGGUUACUCAGUUAGUUAGUUAGUUAGUUAGUUAGUUAGUUAGUUAAUUAGUUCUUCCACCAAUAAGCCUCAGCUCUUUGAGUCUCCUUCCUUGAGCGUCGCGGCUUCUCUCUCAUGUUCGUUUUUGGUACUUCCUGUUUUACUUUGAAGUCACUGUCCUCGUGUCUCUUCACUUCCUGUCCACCUGUUUCUCUCAGAUUGUCUGGGAUGGGACUCACCUGUGUCAGAUCAUCACGACCUUCCUGGUGUAUUUAGUCUCUGUGUUUCCUGUUCACUCGUGUUCGGUUCAGGGGUUUUUUUUUCUCCAUGAAAGCAAAGAGAUCGUUUCCCUAUCGAUCGGCAGAGAAGGAGAAGGACACAGAUCGCUGCUUCACUUCUUAUUCCACUGAAAUGACCGAACGCGUUCAUGAAAUUCAUUCUGCAGACGCGAGGAUCCUCACGCCCUCGACGGUGGCACGUUUUCACACACAUUGUCCCAGCCCGACUCAUAGAGAAGAACCGUCUGCUGCAGCCGACGGUCAGCGUCUCGGUGACGCAGUCGACCAUUGAGCUGCUCGUCCGCACCACACACUGUACACUGCACCGUCAGAGACCCGGCCUCUGGCUGAGCUGCACCGACAGCCUGAACAAUAUGGAGCGUCACCGUCGACCCACAUCCGUCAGCGCGUCUUGGCCGAGAGCGCGAAGCAGAAAUCAAGUAAUUGACGGUUCUGACCGGUCCAGUCCGACCGGAGAGGAGCGGACCGGCUCCACUCUGGAACAUCAGAUAUUCAUGAACUGACGGCUCGGCUCAGAUUACUGCUCCUCUGAGGCGUCUCCAUGUCAUUAAAGAGUUGAUUUAAAAUAAAGACUCCAAUGAAAAGUAUCCGGUGCAGCAAAUCAGAUAGAUCUGACUCGGAAUCCUCAAAGUUGCUGAAACACAACGGCUUCAUUUGUUGGAGUCGACAUGACAUCAUGUGGUGGCGUCCAUCUUUAUUUACAGCU